rnacentral:misc_RNA from 1 species
GAUAACGGAAGGGAACGUUCAUGUUGCGGUCAAUAUCGAGAGAGGAGAGUGGAAGAACAUGGUCUUGAGAUAAGGGAGAAGGAGAAGGACGAAUUGGAGUAGUUUCUUUGAUAUUAACUUGCAUUUUGGCUGAUGGGUGUUUCUCUUGUUGGGUAUUGGAUGAUGGAUCUGAAAUCUGUUUAUAUGGGUUCUGAUUUUUCUAAUAUGUGGAUGAAUUGGAGUCGUCGUUGCUCACCAACCCAGGGUAGUACGAGCUACCAACCCC